rnacentral:rRNA from 1 species
AUUGAACGCUGGCGGCAGGCCUAACACAUGCAAGUCGAGCGGAUCUUUAGGAGCUUGCUCCUGAAGAUUAGCGGCGGACGGGUGAGUAACACGUGGGCAACCUGCCUGUAAGACUGGGAUAACACCGGGAAACCGGUGCUAAUACCGGAUAAUUCUUUCCUUCACAUGAGGGAAAGCUGAAAGUCGGUUUCGGCUGACACUUACAGAUGGGCCCGCGGCGCAUUAGCUAGUUGGUGUGGUAACGGCUCACCAAGGCGACGAUGCGUAGCCGACCGGAGAGGGUGAUCGGCCACACUGGGACUGAGACACGGACCAGACUCCUACGGGAGGCAGCAGUAGGGAAUCUUCCGCAAUGGACGAAAGUCUGACGGAGCAACGCCGCGUGAGUGAUGAAGGCCUUCGGGUCGUAAAACUCUGUUGUUAGGGAAGAACAAGUAUCGGAGUAACUGCCGGUACCUUGACGGUACCUAACCAGAAAGCCACGGCUAACUACGUGCCAGCCGCCGCAGUAAUAC